rnacentral:rRNA from 1 species
UACAGAGGGUGCGAGCGUUGUCCGGAAUCACUGGGCGUAAAGGGCGCGUAGGUGGCGACCCAAGUCGAUGGUGAAAGCUCGUCGCUCAACGAUGAGUCGGCCACCGAUACUGGGUUGCUCGAGCACUGUAGAGGCAGAUGGAAUUCCGGGUGUAGCGGUGGAAUGCGUAGAGAUCCGGAAGAACACCGGUGGCGAAGGCGGUCUGCUGGGCAGUAGCUGACACUGAGGCGCGACAGCGUGGGGAGCAAACAGG